rnacentral:rRNA from 1 species
UACGGAGGGGGCAAGCGUUGUUCGGAAUUACUGGGCGUAAAGGGCUCGUAGGUGGCCAACUAAGUCAGACGUGAAAUCCCUCAGCUUAACUGGGGAACUGCGUCUGAUACUGGAUGGCUUGAGUUUGGGAGAGGGAUGCGGAAUUCCAGGUGUAGCGGUGAAAUGCGUAGAUAUCUGGAGGAACACCGGUGGCGAAGGCGGCAUCCUGGACCAACACUGACGCUGAGGAGCGAAAGCCAGGGGAGCAAACGGG